UGGCAUAGUACUGGUCCUGCAGGUUUCUAACUUGUCAUCCUAGCUGGUAAUGUCUCCUGGUUUUUAUGGAAGGCUUAAUUGGAGAGUGUCUGAUGCCUGAAGGACUUUCCUGGUUGACAACCUUGAAAAUGGUGAAAGAAAGAAAUUGAAACCAGGUCUCACUGAGUGGGAAGGCCUCACUGAGCUGACCUGUGAAAAAAGACCUACAUGAAGUGAU
rnacentral:lncRNA from 10 species